AUGCCCAUUUUGUUUCGGCACCCUGCUGGUAUGCCAUUCAACUUCGCCACCUCGAGCACCCUGUCGGGCCGCCGUUCAACUAUACCAACUGGUGUCAUUCAACUAAAUCACCUAACGCCGCUCAUCUAUAUUUUUUCUUCUCAGCCAGCAACGAAAACGGCGGCGAUCGAGCCAUCUCCUCGAGAUGCUCCGCGUGCAGCCGCCGGCUUCUCGCACGCCAUCGACCCCUUCCAUCCCCGCGUGUGCUUUCUUCCUCCUGUGCACGAUGGACUUCCCCCCGCGCAGCCUGUGACCUUCUGA
rnacentral:rRNA from 1 species